UGUAGAUCUGGCCUUGUGUUUUCAGGUUAUUGUUCUGCUGAAAGAUGAAUUCAUCUCCCAGUGUAGAUCUGGCCUUGUGUUUUUAGGUUAUUGUCCUGCUGAAAGGUGAAUUAAUCUCCCAGUGUCUGGUGGUGUAACGUUUUCGCUGGGAGUCAGAAAGCAGGUGCAGAAGGUGAGUUUAAUAAUAAUAAUAAUAAUAAUAAUACAGAGGGUUAGAUAAUAUAAAACAGGAGAAGUUUACUGAACAAGACAAAACCAAUACUACCUGAUGACUGAGGAUACAGAGGGUUAGAUAAAGGGAGAGUAAUAAAGGUGAUGAUGGGUUCCAGGUGUGUAAUAAUGAGGUACAGGUGUGUGUAAUGAUGAGAUCCAGGUGUGUAAUGAUGAGGUCCAGGUGUCUGUGAUGAUUAGGUCCAGGUGUGUGUAAUGAUGAGGUCCAGGUGUGUGUAAUGAUGAGGUCCAGGUGUGUGUAAUAAUGAGGUCCAGGUGUGUGUAAUGAUGAGGUCCAGGUGUGUGUAAUGAUGAGGUCCAGGUAUGCGUAAUGAUGGUGCCAGAAGCAGUGGCAGUGGCGACGUGGACCACUGGAGGGGGGUUGCGGGACUAGGCUUGACAAGUGGAAAGCAGACUGAACCAGGUUUUUCCUCUAGGAUCCUGCCUGUGCUUAAGUCCAUUCCCCGGUCCUUAACGAUAACAAGCAUACACAUGACAUGAUGCAGCCACCACCAUGCUUGGAAAUAUGGAGAGUGGUACUCAGUAAUGUGUUGGAUUUGUCCCAAACAUAACACUUUGUAUUCAGGACAUAAUGCUAAUCGCUUUGCCACAUUUUUUGGGAGUAGUACUUUAGUGCCUUGUUGCAAAUGUUUUGUAAUACUUUUUUAUUCUGUACAGGCUUCCUUCUUUUCAUUCUGUCAUUUAGGUUAAUAUUGUGGAGUAACUACAUUGUUGUUGAUCCAUCCUCAGUUUUCUCCUAUCACAGCCAUUAAACUCUGUAACUGUUUUAAAGUCACCAUUGGCCUCAUGGUGAAAUCCCUGAGCGGUUUCCUUCCUCUCCGGCAACUGAGUUAGGAAGGACGCCUGUAUCUUUGUAGUGACUGGGUGCAUUUAUACACCAUCCAAAGUGUAAUUAAUAACUUCACCAUGCUCAAAGGGAUAUUCAAUGUCUGCUUUUAUUUUAUUUUUACCCAUCUACCAAUAGGUGCCCUUCUUUGCGAGGCAUUGGGAAACCUCCCUGGUCUUUGCGGUUGAAUCUGUGCUUCAAAUUCACUGCUUGACUGAGGGACCUUACAUAUAAUUCUAUGUGUGAGGUACAGAGAUGAGGUAGUCAUUCUAAAAUCAUGAUAAACACUUUUAUUGCACACAGAGUGAGUCCAUGCAACUUAUUGUGUGACUUGUUAAGCUAAUGUUUACUCCUGAAUUUACACUACAUGACCAAAAGCAUGUGGACACCUGCUCGUCCAACAUCUCAUUCCAACAUCAUCAUUAAUAUGGAGUUGGUCCCCCCCUUUGCAGCUAUAACAGCCUCCACUCUUCAGGGAAGUCAUUAAUAUGGAGUUGGUCCCCCCCUUUGCUGCUAUAACAGCCUCCACUCUUCUGGGAAGUCAUUAAUAUGGAGUUGGUCCCCCCCUUUGCUGCUAUAACAGCCUCCACUCUUCAGGGAAGGCAUUAAUAUGGAGUUGGUCCCCCCCUUUGCUGCUAUAACAGCCUCCACUCUUCAGGGAAGUCAUUAAUAUGGAGUUGGUCCCCCCUUUGCUGCUAUAACAGCCUCCACUCUUCAGGGAAGGCAUUAAUAUGGAGUUGGUCCCCCCUUUGCUGCUAUAACAGCCUCCACUCUUCAGGGAAGUAAUUAAUAUGGAGUUGGUCCCCCCUUUGCUGCUAUAACAGCCUCCACUCUUUAGGGAAGGCUUUCCACUAGACGUUGGAACAUUGCUGCAGGGACUUGCUUCCAUUCAGCCACAAGAGCAUUCGUGAGGUGGGGCCCUGAUGUUGGGCGAUUAGGUCCCGGCUCGCAGUCGACGUUCCAAUUCAUCCCAAAGGUGUUCGAUGGGGUUAAGGUCAGGGCUCUGUGUAGGCCAGUCAAGUUCUUCCACACUGAUCUCAACAAACUAUUUCUGUAUGGACCUCGCUUUGUGCACUGUCCUCGCUUUGUGCAUUGUCAUGCUGAAACAGGAAAAGGGCCUUCCCCCUGAACUCUUGCCACAAAAUCGCCUAGAAUGAGAGUCCAACGGCAGCGAGCUUUACACCACUCCACCCGACGCUUGGCAUUGCGCAUGGUGAUCUUUAGGCUUGCGUGCGGCUGCUCAGCCAUGGAAACCCAUUUCACGAAGCUCCCGACGAACAGUUAUUGUGCUGCCGUUGCUUCCAGAGGCGGUUUGGGAACUCAGUAGUUUAAGCGGUUCAGCACUCGGCGGUACCGUUCUGUGAGCUUUUGUGGCCUACCACUUUGCGGCUGAACCGUUGUUGCUCCUAGGUGUUUCCACUUCACUAUAAUAGAAUUUACAGUUGACCGGGGGAAAGUCUAGCAGGGCAGAAAUUUGACAGACUGACUUUUUGGAAAGGUGACAUCCUUGAAAGUCACUGAACUCUUCAGUACAGGUCAUUCUACUGCCAAUGUUUGUCUAUGGAGAUUGCAUGGCUGUGUGCUCAAUUUUAUACACCGGUUUGGCUGAAAUAGCCAAAUCCAUUCAUUUGAAGGGGUGUCCACAUACUUUUGAAUAUAUCGUGUAUUUAUGCUCGCCAUAACAAACGGGUAUAACACUUAUUGAUUCAAAACAUUUCAGCUUUUCAUUUUCAUUAAUUUGUAAAAAUGUAAAUAGAUAUAAUUCCUCUUUGACAUUAUUGGGGUAUUGUGUGUAGUCCAGUGACCUCAAAAAUAAAAAUCUCAAUGUAAUCUAAUCCGUAACACAACAAAAUGUGUUUAAAAAGUCAAGGGUCCGUUUCAUUGGUCAUUUUCCAGAGAUGUGAUGAAAUGUGGACUGCCAGUACCAACAUAACACACUUAGAAAGAUAUUUUACCUCAGAAAUUAAAGUAUUGUUAUCCAUGACACAAUUUCCCUGUUAUAACAUGACAAAAAAAAAUGGAAAUAUGUAAAAUCAUUUGAUUAAAAGUCAAUUCCCCAGUCCUCUGUCUAUGACAAAUACAGUACCCAGGGGGAAAUACACAGAGACAACUGGAAUUACCAACAAAACCAACAACUUUAACACUGUUAUUCAUAUAAGACCCUACGACACGAACAAUGACCCGGUUUAUAAAGGACGAUUAGUCAGAACACACCUGAGACCGUUGGUAGGGGUUUUGAGGGGGGGAGGGGUACGGCAUUUUUACAGUCACUUGAUAGGAACAAUGAACGAUGAAGGAUUUGGCUAGGAAUCUGAACUAGACAGGGGAAUUCCCCUCACAGUCAGACUAGGAGAGCACUGAGAACUCUGUGACCUCAGAACACAGUGUGGUUCGGUCGCAAACGGCAUCCUUUUCACCAUGUGGCACACUACUAUUGACCAGAGCCCUAUGGACACCUAUGGGCCUCCCUAUGGGCCCCCCUAUGGGCCCCCCUAUGGGCCUCCCCUAUGGGCCUCCCUAUGGGCCUCCCUAUGGGCCUCCCUAUGGGCCUCCCUAUGGGCCUCCCUAUGUACCCUGGGCUGUAGGAAAUACCCUGUCAUGUAGGACGCAGCCUGUGGCUUUGUGUCCUGACAAACUGACAUUGAACAUUCAACAUCAUUGGCUCAGAUGCAGACCCCCCCCCAUUUUAAUUAAUUUACUUAACUUUCCUCCAUUCCUCACGUCCUCUUUCCUCAUCUCCUUCAACUAAAACCCACUGGAGAAGAAGGCCUGAACGGAGGGACCUUAGACAUAAAAAAACGGUAACUGUAAUUCGUUACGUUACCAGCAAAAAACUAUUGUAAUCAGAUUACAGAUACUUUAGAAAAACGACAUGAUUACUGAGAGAGGAUUACUUUUAAACUCUGAAAAUCUUUGACGCUUCUCUGUUUUCUCAUCGACGUUCAAAUCAACAUUGAAAAAACAUUGAAAAAAAGUUUACGUUUGUUCCACCUGAGCGAGUCUGACCACCAAUCAGAGACCACUAAUGAUGACACACCAAAUAAUGACCACCAAUCAGAGACCACUAUGGUGACACAACAAACGAUGACCACCAAUCAGAGACCACUAAUGAUGACACACCAAAUGAUGACCACCAAUCAGAGACCACUAUGGUGACACACCAAAUGAUGACCACCAAUCAGAGACCACUAAUGAUGACACACCAAAUGAUGACCACCAAUCAGAGACCACUAUGGUGACACACCAAAUGAUGACCACCAAUCAGAGACCACUAUGGUGACACACCAAAUGAUGACCACCAAUCAGAGACCACUAUGAUCACACACCAAAUACUGACCACCAAUCAGAGAACACUAUGAUGACACUCCAAAUAGGUUACGGACGAUACGGAUAUCACUUAUUACUGAUAUCUACAUAGAGCAUUGACGCGAAUCACACUGCUGCUGCUCUCUCAUUUAGCGAUUUGAGCCUUUACGGAUUGUUGUUGUUGUGGACGGCUGAUCACAAAUCUAAACGUGUAUUUGAACCCAAUUUAUGGUGGAAUUCAAGAAGUUGAAGCUGCCUAUCAAAUCAUUGUUUUUUAAUCCAGUGGACAGCGAGCGAAACCAUGUGUGGAUCCCAGCCUAUAGAAUAACAGCUGCAUAGUGUGGAUCCCAGCCUAUAGAAUAACAGCUGCAUAGUGUGGAUCCCAGCCUAUAGAAUAACAGCUGCAUAGUGUGGAUCCCAGCCUAUAGAAUAACAGCUGUAUAGUGUGGAUCCCAGCCUAUAGAAUAACAGCUGCAUAGUGUGGAUCCCAGCCUAUAGAAUAACAGCUGC
rnacentral:lncRNA from 1 species